GAUGAACGCUGGCGGCGUGCCUAAUACAUGCAAGUCGAGCGAACAGACGAGGAGCUUGCUCCUCUGACGUUAGCGGCGGACGGGUGAGUAACACGUGGAUAACCUACCUAUAAGACUGGGAUAACUUCGGGAAACCGGAGCUAAUACCGGAUAAUAUAUUGAACCGCAUGGUUCAAUAGUGAAAGACGGUUUUGCUGUCACUUAUAGAUGGAUCCGCGCCGCAUUAGCUAGUUGGUAAGGUAACGGCUUACCAAGGCAACGAUGCGUAGCCGACCUGAGAGGGUGAUCGGCCACACUGGAACUGAGACACGGUCCAGACUCCUACGGGAGGCAGCAGUAGGGAAUCUUCCGCAGUGGGCGAAAGCCUGACGGAGCACGCCGCGUGAGUGAUGAAGGUCUUCGGAUCGUAAAACUCUGUUAUUAGGGAAGAACAAAUGUGUAAGUAACUAUGCACGUCUUGACGGUACCUAAUCAGAAAGCCACGGCUAACUACGUG
rnacentral:rRNA from 1 species